GAGCCCCAAAUUGGACCAACGGAUCGGCCCGUCCUGAAUAGGACCGGACUGAAUCGGUCCUUACCCAUUUCGGUCCGAUCCAAGAUAGAAAAAUCCUAAACCGAAUAGGUCCGAUCCGGUCCUUAAUACACCUUUUGGACCUACCGGACCGGAGUGAAUGAACCCUAGUGUCGACGGCAAGUGGCGUUACUAAAUUCGUGAAGGUCGGCGUGCUAUCCAGAUGUAAGUACAAACAGGCCCCACGUGGCUCCAACAAGGGAGCGAAUUCGCGCAGGGUCAUCAAUACGGCACAAGCGCGUAUCAUAAUCAUCAUUAAAAUCAACUUAAUCAACAAUGAUGGGCCAUAAAAAAGCCGACGCUACUUGAUAUUGAGCUUCGGAGAAACUUGGUCCUGACUCGUCCUCCAGGUCCGAAUUUCAGAUAGUUUUCUUUUCGAUUCUUUUUCGAAAUGCAACAUUUUCGCUGACAACUCUUACUUCAGUUGGGUUACCCGGAAAAGCUAGGAAAACGAAAGAUAUGAUCUUUCUUAUAGGAGGUAGAUUUAAUUGUGCCGGGAAGGUUGAUGAAAGCUCUGAUGAGGGGUGAUUCGAGGCCUUCAGAGGUGAUAGGCAAUAUAUCAUUGCAUUGGUAGCUUUUUGCUCAUACGACAGAAAUCACAUUGUCAGUGAUGGUUUAUAAUAUAGCACAUGACUUCUUCGUUCGAUACAUUAAGAAAUUUUCCCACGGUCUUCAACACAAUAGGGAGGAUUGCAAUUUGGUUGUCUUCUACCAUAUCAGCUUGAAUAAACAUGUGCUUUUCAUGACAGGCAACGGUACCCAAAUAAGACAUGUUUUGGAAAAAAGCAAGAUGAUAGUGGGAUUACUAGAAGGUAUUCUGACGAUGUUGAAGGGUGAAGUUGCAAUGGUAUAUCAUUAUCCUAGUUUCUGAAACUGUAUGUUAAAAAAGAAUAGCGAAAGAUAUGGUAAAGAAUGGAAUAGAAUGAACUUAAUGCAAACCAAUUAUAAUAUUUGGCAUCUGUUUCUAAAAAUCCCAUUUACUUUUAUUUUUACUUGUUGCGUCUGAAAGUAUUCAUUCUACUUCCUGGAUAAGGACCUUCUAGAGUGGGCAAAUUAAGUUCAUCGAUGGUUUAUUUAUAGUGUAAUAUUUACUGUAUACGUGUUACCUAUUAUCCUGUAAAUCAACCCUGUACCAUGUGAAUCGCGCAAAUUUCACUGAAGUUAAGCUAAAACCUUGCUUCUAUAAUACAAUUUAACAGACUGAGAACCCCAUUUUGUAUGCUAGGUGCAUGGGGGGAUGUUUGUUCGUUUGAUGAUGCUGGGCGAGUCUGCUCUUCUCACAUGUCCACCUGAUUAUGCAUAUGAAAACUUCCCUAGGUUACUUUAAAAAUCUAGCUUUCCCCCUCUGGUUGUAUCCAGUUUUGCCAGAACAACAUAUAUAGAGUAAUAUGGCUAUUAUUCUAAUUGUCAUUAUCAUUAAUCUAUCAUGUCUAUCUUCUUCUUUCUUCCUCUUCGAAGUAUGUGCAGAACUAAGAACUUUCCCUGACAUGAUCAGGCCAGCUAAUGUUCCUGACGGUGCUCAUGUUGAAUGGGAGGUAAAUUCGAUAUAUUGGUUUUGAGAUGCCACAGGUAAUCUAUGAAUGUAGUUCUUUAAGCCUCAGUUUGAUGCUAGACUUGUGAUCAACAUAGCAUAUUUUCCAAGAUCUCUGCAGAAGUGCUGUUGUUGACCAUUAGACUUGUGGUUACUUGUACAUUAGAACUCCCUCAUUGUUGAGAAUGGUCCAUCAUCAACAUCUGAAGUAUAUACUAUUGGUUCCUAAAAUUUUGGUUCAAGUUUUAUUUUCGUCCAAGAAAUUUAUAAAGUUCCAAUUUUGUCUCUGGAAAAUAUAAAGGUGAUAAAAGAUGAUAAGUUUUUCAUCUCUCUUUCAACUCCCUAAACAUAUGAUUGUUUUGUUCUCUCUGGAUUGUGCAAGUCUUCCUACUAUUAGACACAAAUUUUCUAGGCAUUUUUUAGUCUUAUUGACUUUAUAUAAAGUCUUUAUAUUUUAUAGGAACUUGCUUUUGGGCUUUUAUUUUCUCCUUGUAACCCCCUAAGUUUCAUUAGCUGUAUAUGGUAUUUCUCUGCCACAAGUAAGGAUAACCAAUAAAAUUAAAGUCAUGUCCCUUUCAUAUAGAAUAAAAAAAUAAAAAAUAAAAAAGAAGAAGAAGAGAGAGGGACUAAAAUCCUUCAUGCUCUUGGGUGCCAGACCAUCCUUGUGUUGUAUAUCUUCAACUAGGGGUGUAACCGGCCAGAUUUUGGACAAAAUUUAGGACUAAACCGGUAUGUACCGGUUUUACAUUUUUCAAAACCGAUUACGCACCAGUUACCCUCCUAAACCAGUACUCCAGUUCGU